UUUCAUCGUCGCCCUUCUGGUUCUUUUGCUGUUCAAAGGUCAGAAAAGGCUGGCCGUUGCAGCCUUCAUCGGGCUGUCUUUACUGGGGUGCGCCAUCGCCACGUGGCAAGCGACCAAUCCGGACAUCACGCCCUUCAUGAUCUACCCUGCAUUCACAAGAACAACAUUGUUUGAGACCAUGAAUAAAUACUAC